AUCGAUAUGGCUGAGGUAGGAACACAAUGAGAGAAGACCCUGGCUGUAGGAACCAUCGAUAUGGCUGAGGUAGGAACCAUCGAUAUGGCUGAGGUAGGAACCAUCGAUAUGGCUGAGGUAGGAACACAACGAGACAAGACCCUGGCUGUAGGACCUUAUUUUUGAAGGUCUCAACACACAGAUGGCGUCCAUGUUGUUUCUGUACUGUGGUGCAUUUAUGAACAAAAUAACAGUU
rnacentral:lncRNA from 1 species